AUUGAACGCUGGCGGCAGGCCUAACACAUGCAAGUCGAGCGGAUGAAGGGAGCUUGCUCCUGGAUUCAGCGGCGGACGGGUGAGUAAUGCCUAGGAAUCUGCCUGGUAGUGGGGGAUAACGUCCGGAAACGGGCGCUAAUACCGCAUACGUCCUGAGGGAGAAAGUGGGGGAUCUUCGGACCUCACGCUAUCAGAUGAGCCUAGGUCGGAUUAGCUAGUUGGUGGGGUAAAGGCCUACCAAGGCGACGAUCCGUAACUGGUCUGAGAGGAUGAUCAGUCACACUGGAACUGAGACACGGUCCAGACUCCUACGGGAGGCAGCAGUAGGGAAUAUUGGACAAUGGGCGAAAGCCUGAUCCAGCCAUGCCGCGUGUGUGAAGAAGGUCUUCGGAUUGUAAAGCACUGUGAGUUGGGAGGAAGAGCAGUAAGUUAAUACCUUGCUGUUUUGACGUUACCUAAAGAAUAAGCACCGGCUAACUACGUG
rnacentral:rRNA from 1 species